rnacentral:rRNA from 1 species
UACGGGGGGGGCAAGCGUUGUUCGGAAUUACCGGGCGUAAAGGGCUCGUAGGCGGCCAACUAAGUCAGACGUGAAAUCCCUCGGCUUAACCGGGGAACUGCGUCUGAUACUGGAUGGCUUGAAUCCGGGAGAGGGAUGCGGAAUUCCAGGUGUAGCGGUGAAAUGCGUAGAUAUCUGGAGGAACACCGGUGGCGAAGGCGGCAUCCUGGACCGGCAUUGACGCUGAGGAGCGAAAGCCAGGGGAGCAAACGGG